rnacentral:rRNA from 1 species
UACGUAGGCGGAAAAUUAAGUCAGUAGUGAAAUCCUGCAGCUUAACUGUAGAACUGUUAUUGAUACUGGUUUUCUUGAAUAUCGUUGAGGUAGGCGGAAUGUGUAAUGUAGCGGUGAAAUGCUUAGAUAUUACACAGAACACCGAUUGCGAAGGCAGCUUACUAAGCUAUGAUUGACGCUGAGGUACGAAAGCGUGGGGAGCGAACAGGAUUAGAUACCCUGGUAGUCC